CAGUUUUCUUAUCACUUGUUUCCCUCCUGUGAACCAGCUUCCAACUUAGCCUGUACUCGACACUCCUCCUGAGUGCCCCCCACCACCUCACUGUUCCUGAGAACUUGGGCUUCAACUUCUCCACAGUCUGUUGCAAACAGAGUCAGCUCCUUUGGGAAGAAAUUAGGAGAGAUCUGUUUUUCCGACUUGCUCAUCACCCCCCCAUCCCCCCAAUCUCUGAGCCAUGGCUCUGGAACUGGGGUGAGGACAAGGGCAGACUUCUCUCUGUGUGACGCCCUGCUCCAGAAGCUCCACGGGAGGGGCACUAGCCUGGUGUCCUCUCAGCCGCCUCUCCUGGUGAGAACCACUGCCCCACAGCCAGGGAAGGUGCCCAGGGCCUCAGCACCCUCAGUGGUGCCAAGGUAGAGCCUCCACUCCAAGAGCUGGGCUGGGCAGGAGGGAGGCCCUGCUCUCAACCGGCCUCACCCACACUUAGCCUCAGCAGCAGGCACUGGGCAGGUACAAACACCUAGGCCUGCAGCUCAGGGAAGGAAGCCCUUCCACGCGGAGCCGGGGGACAGGAAGCCUUCUGUUCUCAACUGCAGCCUCUGGCGCAGGGUCCCUGCGUCCCCGAGCUGAGUGGGGAGGAGGGAGUGGUCUUGGGUCAGAUACCCCACUCUCCUUUCUUACCAAAUUUUCCUAGAUUUUCUUGGAUAGAUGCUUCUCUAUUUGCUGCUUGCCUGCAGGACCAUUCCCAGAGGUUGUAGGUAUUGUUGUCUUUUUGUUUUUGCUGUUAUAGUUCUCACCAGUUUCACUGGGAAUGGGUUGUGGAGCGCCUCACACUGCCUUCAUGCUACCUGAGAAAUGAGCAACAACUCCUCCCAAGAUGCCUGGGCCUGCCGACAGCAUCUCCCACUGGCCGCUCCGAGGCUCCCCGCCCUGCGGCUUCUCUGACCACACUGACCCUUCACACCGCAGACUUGGAAGCGUGAGGGAGUGAGUUCAUGCCCGUGGGGACGCCGGUGGACAAAUCCUCUGCUCUCGGGUCUCCAGUGGGACGGAGCCUCAAUUGCCCACAGUGGGGACCACUCCAAUAACGCCCCCCUACGGUGGGCUUUCCCUCUUCCCUUGUUUCACCCUCCCAGCCCCCCACUCCUGUCCCUUAGGAUCAUCUCUCAAAAUAAACCACCUCCAUGCAACCCCUUACCUCAGGCUCUGCCUUGAUGUUUUGGCAAGACUAUGUAAUAGGUUGUGUGGUGAACGUCCAUCAGGAAACAGCCAGUGUCUGGUUCACCCUUUUUGUCAUGUCUGCAGACGCUGACAUCAACACCUCGUUACCCAGAGGUGUAGUCCUUUCAGGAAAGGUAGGAGAAGUCCUUGACUUCCCCUUGAUUUACCAGUUUUCAGAAGAUGUCAAUUCCUGACAUCCUCCCAACAGUAGUCAAUGAGGUUUUAUUUUUAAAGAAUGCUAUGAGCUCAUGGAUUUAAGUGUAUUUCAUGCGCUUCAUUCAUUGUAGUUCUUGUUCUCAGUGCCACUCAAACGGUCCUGUUCUUGGCCAGCAGGACCUUCCUGAGGUGGCUCGUGACUCCCAGCUUGGCAUCCUCAGUAACUUCCUUGAUUUCAAAAACUAGUCCAGGCUUUCAGUAAAGUUAUUGAUUUAAUAAAUAUGGUAUGCACAUUAUGGGUUUAUAGCAAUACUUCUAAUUCAAAUUCAGGACUAUGGGGUUUUAAUUAACUUCAGUGAUCCUAAACCUGUAUCUUCUUUUUCCCAAGCCAAAAAUUUUCAGUUCUCAACACUACUCAGAUCAUUUGGUACUUGGGACAUUUGAGCUGUUCUCAGUAAUUGGCUAUUAAAAAUUUCACUGAAUAGUGAAAUACCUUUAGGGUAUUUUGAAUUUUUGCCAAUGUGAGUUCAGGAUAUAUCCCCAGAAGUAGGACUGCUAGGUCAAAGGGUAACUGCAGAAGUGAUCUUGUUAGGCAUUGGUAAACUCCACUUCGUAGGUGGCUGCAGCGUUCAGCACCCCACUUACAACGUGUGAGAGUGUAAGCUGCGUGUCCCCCACCCCCUGCAACAGGCUGUGCCGUCAAACCUUUGGGCUUUUGUCAACUGCAUGUGUAAGAAAGGGUCUGUGUUUUUUUUUUUUUUUUUUUUUGGCGGUACGCGGGCCUCUCACUGUUGUGGCCUCUCCCGUUGCGGAGCACAGGCUCCGGACGCACAGGCUCAGCGGCCAUGGCUCACGGGCCCAGCCGCUCCGCGGCAUGUGGGAUCUUCCCGGACCGGGGCACGGACCUGUGUCCCCUGCAUCGGCAGACGGACUCUCAACCACUGCGCCACCAGGGAAGCCGGGUCUGUGUAUAUUUAUUUCUACUUCUCUUGCUAUAAGUGAAAUGAGGGGUCUGUUUCUGUUACUCAGAUGUUCUGCUUUGGCUAAGGUUGUGUCAAGGCAACACAGAAAAGGCAUUUGCGGAAAAGUGAACUGGGGGUGAAAAUUCAUACCUAAUAAUUUUUUAUUUUUAUAAAUUUAUUUUACUUAUUUUUGGCUGCAUUGGGUCUUCAUUGUUGUGCGUGGGUUUCCUCUAGUUGCAGUGAGUGGGGGCUACUGUAUGUUGCGGUGCGCGGGCUUCUCAUUGCGGUGGCUUCUCUUGUUGCGGAGCACAGGCUCUAGGCAUGUGGGCUUCAGUAGUUGUGGCACACGGGCUCAGUAGCUGUGGCUCCCGGGCUCUAGAGCGCAGGCUCAGUAGUUGUGGCGCAUGGGCUUAGCUGCACCGUGGCAUGUGGGAUCUUCCCAGGCCAGGGCUUGAACCCGUGUCCCCUGCAUUGGCAGGCAGAUUCUUAACCACUGUGCCACCAGGGAAGCCCAUUUUUUGAUUUUAAAUUUUAUUUUAUUUUUUGGCUGUGUCGGGUCUUAGCUGCGGCAUUUGGGGUCUUCACUGAGGCACGUGGGACCUUUCUGUUGAGGUGCAGAGGCUCUUCGUUGUGAUGCACAGGCUUUUCUCUGGUUGUAGUGUGGGGUUUUUUUUCCUCUCUACUUAAGGCACAUGGGCUCCAGGGCGUGUGGGCUCCGUAGUUUGUGGUGCACAAGCUCAGUAGUUGUGGCAUGUGGGCUUAGUUGCCCCGCAGCAUGUGGGAUCCUAGUUCCCCGACCAGGGAUUGAACCCACAUCCCCUGCAUUGGAAGGCGGAUUCUUUACCACUGGACCACUAGGGAAGUCCCUCUUUUUUUCCUAAUAAUUUAUUUUAAAGUUAAAGUGGUCCUAGAUCAUAGCUCCCCAGUCACAUGGCAGAAGCAAAUACUAAUUUUUUCAGGAAGAACCCAGACAUGUCAGAGAAACUCCAGAGGUAAAAUUCCAAGAAAUACAAACUCACAGCCAAAAAUCACAGAAUUCAUCAGGAAACAAGGCACCAUGAGUGAGUCAACAGAAAAAAUUGACAGAAAAAUCAGACCCACAGAGUCUUCAAACAUUGAUAUUAACAAUCAGAGAACGUACAAUAAGUUUAACAUGUUAAAAAAGAAAAGAAUGAGUUGAAAAUGUGAUAAACAAAAGUUAUAAAGUCCAGCAAAUUAGAAAAACAACAUAGAACUUAAAGAAUUGAAAAUUGUAACUAUGGAAAUUAAACACUGAAUGAGUUCAACAGCACAUUUGAUACAGCUGAUCAGAAAAUUAGUGAACUGAAAAGUGGAUCUUAAGAAAUUAUCCAGAAUGUAGCAAAGACAGAUAAGGAACGGGAAAUACGGAAGGGCUGUUAGAAGACGGAGGGCGUCUGACGUACAUUUGGUUGGGGUUUUAGAAGGAGAAGGAACAGAGAUUGGAGUAAAGACAAUAUUUGAAAAGAUAAAA